rnacentral:rRNA from 1 species
UAGCGGCAAACGGGUGAGUAACACGUAGGUAAUCUGCCUUCAGAAGGGGGAUAACUCCGCGAAAGCGGUGCUAAUACCGCGUAAGACCACGGUCCCGCAUGGGACUGAGGUUAAACCACGGCGCAAGCCGGGGGUCUGAAGAGGAGCCUGCGGCCUAUCAGCUAGUUGGUGGGGUAACGGCCCACCAAGGCGAAGACGGGUAGCCGGCCUGAAAGGGUGAUCGGCCACACUGGCACUGAGACACGGGCCAGACUCCUACGGGAGGCAGCAGUGAGGAAUCUUGGACAAUGGGGGAAACCCUGAUCCAGCGACGCCGCGUGGAGGACGAAGGUCUUCGGAUUGUAAACUCCUUUUGCAGGGGACGAAUGAGCCCCGGUGAUAAACCGGGGAAGUGACGGUACCCUGCGAAUAAGCCACGGCUAACUUCGUGCCAGCAGCCGCGGUAAGACGAAGGUGGCUAGCGUUACUCGGAAUUACUAGGCGUAAAGGGCAGGUAGGCGGCUCGGUAAGUCUACUGUGAAAGCUCCCGGCUUAACUGGGAGAGGUCAGUAGAUACUGCCGGGCUUGAGUGUGAGAGAGGGUGCUGGAAUUCCCGGUGUAGCGGUGAAAUGCGUAGAGAUCGGGAGGAACACCUAUGGCGAAAGCAGGCGCCUGGCUCAUUAC